UACGUAGGGAGCAAGCGUUGUCCGGAAUCAUUGGGCGUAAAGCGCGCGUAGGUGGCCUCAUAAGUCCGUUGUGAAAGUCAAAGGCUCAACCUUUGAAAGCCGAUGGAUACUGUGAGACUAGAGUACGGAAGAGGCGAGUGGAAUUCCCGGUGUAGCAGUGAAAUGCGUAGAGAUCGGGAGGAACAUCUGUGGCGAAGGCGACUGCCUGGACCAGCACUGACACUGAGGCACGAAAGCGUGGGGAGCAAACAGG
rnacentral:rRNA from 1 species